UACGUAGGGGGCAAGCGUUGUCCGGAUUUAUUGGGCGUAAAGAGCGUGUAGGCGGCCAGGUAGGUCCGUUGUGAAAACUCGAGGCUCAACCUCGAGACGCCGAUGGAAACCAUCUGGCUAGAGUCCGGAAGAGGAGAGUGGAAUUCCUGGUGUAGCGGUGAAAUGCGCAGAUAUCGGGAGGAACACCGGUGGCGAAGGCGGUUCUCUGGGCCUUACCUGACGCUGAGGAGCGAAAGCGUGGGGAGCGAACAGG
rnacentral:rRNA from 1 species